GCCAGCGUGGCAUAGUGUUUUGAGUGAUGGAUUGUGAUUCUGUAGACUAGGGUUGGAUUCCCAACGUGGUCA